rnacentral:rRNA from 1 species
AGAGCGAACGCUGGCGGCAGGCCUAACACAUGCAAGUCGAGCGCCCGUAGCAAUACGGGAGCGGCAGACGGGAGAGUAACACGUGGGAACGUACCCUUCAGUUCGGAAUAACCCAGGGAAACUUGGACUAAUACCGAAUACGUCCGUAAGGAGAAAGAUUUAUCGCUGAAGGAUCGGCCCGCGUCUGAUUAGCUUGUUGGUGAGGUAAUGGCUCACCAAGGCGACGAUCAGUAGCUGGUCUGAGAGGAUGAUCAGCCUCACUGGGACUGAGACACGGCCCAGACUCCUACGGGAGGCAGCAGUGGGGAAUAUUGGACAAUGGGCGCAAGCCUGAUCCAGCCAUGCCGCGUGGAUGAUGAAGGCCCUAGGGUUGUAAAGUCCUUUCGACGGGAAGAUAAUGACGGUACCCGUAGAAGAAGCCCGGCUAACUUCGUGCCAGCAGCCGC